rnacentral:lncRNA from 1 species
GAGAUGCUAGUGACUAUACCAUGUUAGAGACAUGAGGAUUGGAUACUUGAGACUUGGUCUACGCUUGCUUGCCAUUUGUGCUCAUUCGCACAUGCUUGUGAGGGUCGCUCCCUACAAGCCGGCACUCCGGAGUUAGCCUACGCGACUUAUGUUCGCUCGUGCGGUAUUGAGAAGCCUACGGGGUCGAGUGGGACAGACACAUUCCAAGAGUAGGGAUGUUGGGCUACCACAGGCACUUAGGCGGCACAAGCUGGACUACCUUUGGUAGGUCCUUAAUUGGAAAUGGAAAUCGACACGGUGUUGAGAAUGAAUAAUCGCUACUAGAUAGGCUUAGUAGUUGGAUUAGGUGACAUGCUCAUGACAUAGCAAUGGGGUAUAUAGUACACUUGCCGGUUUCAUGCAUUGCAUCAUAGUAUACUGGGUUAUCUUGAUAGAGCGUACUCCUUAUAUUUUGGCAUAUGGUAUUGUGAGGUUUACUUGUUCAUUAUGUUGAGGCAUAUUAGUAUGCAUUGGAUAUAUUACCUUAUGAUAGCGUAGAUGUACAUCACCAUGACAUCAUGCUUAUUGGAGACAUAGUAGUAUAGCAUUUCAUUCAUGCUUUCUUUCAGCAGUUUUCGUGUUCGCUAUUUAUUGCAUAUUACUAUAUGUCGUUACUUACCCUUUUCUUUUGGGGCCUAGUGGUGCAUUGAGCUGAGGUCAGUAAUUGCCCACUGGGAACUAUAAAUUAUAGUUCUCACGCCCUCUUUUUCUCGAUGUUUUUCAGAGCCUUCCACGCAGGGUGAGGCCAGGGAUCGCGGGAAGGGAGUUGCUUCGAGCUAGCUUCCUUCGAGGACGAGUUGCUAGGUGGUCUACCUCUCGAUAUUUACUUUUUGGCGAGAGGUUGAGGGUUUUACCAGUGUACUAGAGACCACCAUUUUUGUACUAGAGACAGAUAUUGUACUACUUAUGGUUUCUUUUAUUGUCUAGCUUUAUUUCUUUACUUUGGUGUAGAUGAUAGAACUUUACUCGCUCUGAUAUCAUUAGUUGCUAGUUAUUUCACUUCUUUUAUUUGUUCUAUCUCUUGCUUUACUUCCGCUUUUGUUGUAGACGCCUUAUAUGUGUAGACAUAUGGCGGGUCUGGGCACGCUACCGGGAGGGCCUCCGCCGGUCCCGGGGCGUGACAGAUUAAUUUGGUAUCAGAGCCUAGGGUUGAGUCUUAGUGGACCUAGCGAACCUUAGGCCGGUUGGACUAUAGGAAUUAGGCUCGUGAGAGACGAGGUCUAAUUGACUUGUGAGCGAAAGUAUUAUGAUUGGGUUUAUGACAACUCUAAAAAGUUAGAGUUUGAUCGGAGUGUAUGGCUUCUAACUUCGCGGAGGGUUACGUUGGCGGCCGACAACGUAACAUCGGGAGUUAGUAGUGAAGGACACUUCCUUACUUUCGCAUGAUUUGGGGUUUUAUCUAUUUGAGCGGGGAUGCGAUAGCGUGGGUUACUAACUUGCGCUUUUAUGUUUUGUAGUGACGAUGCCGAUUACACGCUCCCAGUCUGCCGGGGCGGAUGAUGCGGCACACCCCGAGGAGGUCGAGACCUCCGCUACUUCCGGAUCUAGUGAGGUCCGUGACUUGAGGGCCCAGCUUGCGGUUCUCACUGAUCUGUUGGCGCAGCAGACGGCAGCGGCGCAGCGACAGGCUGAGGUGGCUCAGCGGCAGGAGGCGCGGAUGAAGCAUCUUGAGGACCUCCUACUUCAGCAGGCAGCAGUUUCGAGGGAGACCCAGGUUCCCACACCGCCAGCACCCGUGGUGGACGUCGCACCGAGAGCGCAAUCCCCCGCGCCCAAUUCUUCCCGUGCGGCACCGGCGACCACACCUCGGGAGGAGGUGGAUGCGGUACCCCCAGUUCAGAGACCAGCUACAGGGGCGGCAUUCCCCGUGAUGGCAGAGGGAGCCGAGCGGGAUCGGCUCAUGGAGCGCCUCAGUGAGUUCAGGAGGUGCAGCCCGAGGAUGUUUGACGGCGAGAACGUCGACCACUGGAUUGUUGAGAAGUGGUUGAUGCACAUGGAGAAGCUUUUUCGAGACACCUUUGUGGAGGAGCGGGACAGAGUUUGGCUCGCCACUCAUUUUCUUGACGGCGAGGCCUACCGUUGGUGGUUGGAUAUUCAGGACAACCCCAACACCGACUUGACAGCGAUCACUUGGACGAGGUUCAAGGAGCUUCUUCUGGCGCACUACUUCCCGACCAGCGCCAAGAGGAAGAUAGAGCAGGAUUUGCGCAGCUUGCGCCAGGACAAGCAGUCAGUGGCCGAGUACGAGAGGGAGUUCUCCCGGCUGCUUCACUGUGUACCGUUUGUUGUGAGGGAUGACGAGGACAAGGCCCGCAUUUUUUAGCGCGGAUUGCGCCCUUCUAUCUUUCGAUUGGUGCAGUCUUCCAACCUCCAGACCUAUCGGGAGGUUGUGGAUUGAGCGUUGAUUGUUGAGGCUGGAGCGGCGGAUUUGCAGGAGUGACGCGAGGCCCUAGAUAAGGGCAAGGGCAAGAGGCCCGCGGCUGAGGGUGCGAGUCAGACGCACUCACGGAGGCCGCCGAGGCACCCCAGGAGCCGGAGCCAGUCGUGAGGACGGGGCCAGUCUACUCAGCGAGGAGGACCCGAUCAUCGCCAGGCUCCCCGCUGCGUGAUCUGUGGUGGACCCCACUACCCACGACAGUGUUCACGCAGCCGGGGCAGGUGUUUCUUGUGUAGCCAGGAGGGCCACUUUCAGUCGGACUGCCCGAGAGGUUCAGCGCCAGCGCCAUCUUCGGCAUCUGCACCGGCAUCGCCGGGUCCCAGUCAGGGGACAUUUUCUGCGCAUCACCAGGCAGGACGGCCGCCAGUUCAGCGGCAGGCGGAGGGGUCACGACAAGCCCCGAGCGGGCGCAUGUACGCGGCCCAGACUGAGGAGGCGACAGCAGCCGAGAAUGUGGUUGCAGGUAUCAUUUUACUUUAUGAUAUUCGAGUUAGAGCUUUGUUUGAUACCGGUGCAUCGCAUUCAUUCAUAGACCGGCUGUUUGCCGAGUUGCAUGGCAUCCCACUUGUAUCCUUGUUGCAUCCUGGACAAGUUGUUGUACCCGACCAUUCUUUGGACAUCCAAGAGUUUUGCCCCAGUUGCCCUGUUCGGGUUGGAAAUUGGAUCAUGCCCGUAGACUUGCUAGCUUUGCAUAAACUCGGGGAGUUUGAUGUUGUGCUGGGCAUGGAUUGAUUGACCAAGUACUACGCCACCAUUGAUUGUAAGAAUCGAACGGUGACGUUUAGAGAGCCGGGGCAGGCGGAGGUUGUGUACCGAGGAUGCCAGAGUUCGCUUUUUGCGAUGACGAUUAGCUCUUCUCGAGCUCGGCAGUUGAUUAGUAGAGGCUGCGUAGCCUACUUGGCUACUGUUGUGUUACGGGGUGGUGAUGACGCCCCUAGGAUUGAGAAUAUCCCCGUAGUGCGGGAGUUUGGAGAUGUGUUUCUAGCGGAGCUUCCAGGCAUGCCACCUGAUAGGGAGAUUGAGUUUGUGGUAGAUCUCGUUCCCGGGACUACUCCGAUCUCAAAGGCACCCUAUAGGAUGGCACCAGCAGAAUUGAAGGAGCUGAAGGCACAGUUGCAAGAUCUUCUGGACAAGGGUUUCGUGCGAUCGAGUGUGUCACCUUGGGGAGCACCGGUCCUAUUUGUGAAGAAGAAUGAUGGAUCACUUCGUUGUGCGUGGACUAUCGUGAACUUAACAAAGUCACGAUUAAGAACAAGUAUCUAUUGCCGAGGAUCGACGAUCUAUUUGAUCAGCUUCAGGGAUCUAGUGUGUAUUCCAAGAUUAACCUGCGGUCGGGAUAUCAUCAGUUGAGGAUCAGACCUGAAGAUGUAUCGAAGACGGCUUUCAGAACACGGUAUGGACAUUAUGAGUUUACAGUUAUGCCGUUUGGGCUUACCAAUGCCCCGACUGCUUUUAUGGAUCUAAUGAACCGUGUUUUCAAGCCUUAUUUAGAUAGGUUUGUCGUGGUGUUCAUCGACGACAUCUUAGUGUAUUCCCGGAGUGAUGCGGAUCACGAGGAACACUUGAGACUUGUACUUCAGGUGCUUCGGGAAAAGAAGCUCUAUGCCAAGUUGAAAAAGUGUGAGUUUUGGCUUAGAGAGGUGGCUUUUUUAGGCCAUCUGAUUUCAGGAUCAGGAAUAGCUGUGGAUCCAAGGAAAAUUGAAGCCAUCAAGAAUUGGCCAAGGCCGACGAGCGUGACCGAGAUACGGAGCUUCAUUGGUUUGGCCGGCUAUUACCGAUGGUUCGUUGAGGGAUUUGCAAAGUUAUCUACUUCCCUCACGAGGCUCACGCAUAAAAGAACUAAGUUCAUUUGGAAUGAUGCAUGUGAAAGGAGCUUCCAAGAGUUGAAGCAGCGAUUGACAACCGCCCCGAUCCUUACCUUGCCGACUGCUAGAGCAGGGUAUGUGAUUUAUAGCGAUGCUUCCUUUAUUGGAUUGGGAUGUGUUUUAAUGCAGGAUGGGAAGGUGAUCGCGUAUGCUUCUCGCCAACUAAAGAAUUAUGAGAGAAACUAUCCUACCCAUGACUUGGAGUUGGCGGCCGUAGUCUUUGCUCUGAAGCUAUGGCGCCACUACUUGUACGGCGAGCGAUGUGAAGUGUAUACGGAUCACAAGAGCUUAAAGUAUCUAUGCACUCAGAAGGAGUUGAACUUGAGGCAGCGCAGAUGGUUGGAGCUACUCAAGGAUUAUGAUUUGACGAUACUUUACCACCCGGGCAAGGCUAACGUGGUGGCGGAUGCGCUAAGUAGGAAAUCGACGGAAAACUUAGCGAUGCUUAUGGUUACUCAACCACCGUUGAUCGAGCAGAUGAAGCGGUUGGAGUUGGAGGUGGUGGCUCCUGAUACACCCUUGAGACUGACGGCUUUGGUGGUGCAACCUACACUUAUGGAAAGGAUUAAAGAAAAGCAAGCUUCCGACUCGGAGUUGCAAAAGAUUUGAGCUAAGAUGGUUGAUGGUUGCACUGGUGACUUCACUCUAGAUGGUGAUGGAUUGAUGCGUUUCCGCGGACGACUAUGUGUACCGGCGGACUUGGGCAUUAAAGAGGAUAUUCUUCAAGAAGCACACCGAGCACCGUAUGCUAUACAUCCGGGAGGCACCAAGAUGUACAAGGAUUUGAAAUUACUUUAUUGGUGGCCCGGGAUAAAAAAGGAUGUUGGUGAGUUUGUUGCUAGAUGUUUAACUUGCCAACAGGUGAAGGCUGAGCACCGAGUUCCUGCGGGGAAGUUGCAGAGCCUGCCGAUUCCAGUGUGGAAAUGGGAAAAGAUCACCAUGGAUUUCGUGAUGGGAUUGCCUCGCUCACAGGCCGGGCAUGAUGCUAUUUGUGUGAUCGUGGAUAGAUUGACGAAAUCGGCACAUUUUAUACCUAUCCACACUACUUGGACUGGUGAGAGACUCGCAUAGGUUUAUUUGGAUGAGGCUGUGCGAUUGCACGGGGUACCUACUUCUAUAGUAUCAGAUCAAGAUCCCCGUUUUGUAUCCCACUUUUGGAGGAGCUUACAGGACGCUUUGGGUACGCGCUUGGAUUUCAGCACUGCUUUUCACCCCCAGAGUGACGGGCAGUCGGAGCGUACUAUACAGACUCUCGAGGACAUGCUUCGAGCCUGCGUGAUUGACUUUCAGGGAGGAUGGUCGCAGCAUCUACCGAUGGCAAAGUUUGCUUAUAACAAUAGUUAUCAAGCAAGCAUCAAGAUGGNUGGUCGCAGCAUCUACCGAUGGCAAAGUUUGCUUAUAACAAUAGUUAUCAAGCAAGCAUCAAGAUGGCACCGUUCGAGGCACUCUAUGGACGGAAGUGUAGAUCGCCACUUCAUUGGAGUGAAGUUGGCGAGAGAUUGGCCUUAGGCCCAGAUGUACUCUAGGAAGUAGAAAAUAAGGUUCGCAUUGCUCAGGAGCGACUGUUGACAGCCAGAGUAGGCAGAGGAGUUAUGCUGAUCGGCGUCAACGAGACUUGGAGUUUCAGAUUGGAGAUCAUGUCUUCUUGAAAGUCUCGCCGACCCGAGGGAUUAGAAGGUUUGGAAUCCGGGGUAAGUUGAGCCCCCGAUACAUUGGACCGUAUGAGAUUUUGGAGCGUGUAGGCCCGGUAGCGUAUCGACUUGCUCUACUGCCAAACCUAUCGGGUGUGCACAAUGUAUUCUAUGUAUCGGUCCUUCGGAAGUACAUCCACGACCCGGUUCACGUGUUGGUUGCUACACCAGUGGAGCUAAGGGAUGAUCUGAGCUUUGAAGAGCAACGUUUGAGGAUUUUGGCCCGCGAGGUAAAGAGCUGCGGAACCGUGAGAUUCCCUACGUGAAGGUGCUUUGGAGCAACCACGACGAGCGCGAGGCCACUUGGGAGUUGUAGAGCGUGCUGCGGGAGCGCUAUCCCCAUCUCUUUCAGAUGGAGGCUUGAGGUACUUUGUCUUUUUCGAGUUUUGCGGACGAAACUCCUUUUUAGGAGGGGUGAAUGUAACACACUGGACCUUUGCAAAUUGCGAGGUUCGAGUGUUUGGACAGUGUCCUGAGCUUUUCCAGAUUUUCUGGUAGGUCGUUGACUGUGUUACGACCCGUGGCUCGCAUCCCGAGAAGUGAGGUUUAAAGCCUAGCACAAAAAUCCGAAAAAUCGAAUUUUUGGUCAGCUCUCGGGUAGCCUUCAUCAGGCUGUGUACCGGUACAAGGUUGAUGGCUGUACCGGUACAGGGUUGAUGGCUGUACCGAUACGGGAUGGUGUACCGGUACACAGGCAGUUUUCCAGCAAACCCGAUGCUCGGGUUUGGCAUUUUCGCAGGAUGUGUACCGGUACGCGGGCCCGUGUACCGGUACGCAGUGACAGAAUCUGAAUGUUUGAUUCUGCAGGGGUGUUUUUGCAUUGUUGCCUUCUUAUAUCAGCACCCACGCCCCUUGGAGCUCUCCCUGAGCUGAGAACACAAGAGAAGAAGGUAGGGACUUUCUGUCUUCACCCUCCUUGGAUUUUAUCUCCCUUUUUGCUUGGUUUAGGUGGUUUUUGCUCUCUUUUGCUUCCUAGAGCAUUUUCCACCCUUGUUGGAGGCUUGGAUCUUGGGGAGGAGCUCAUUGGGGAGGAGAUCUUCAACCUUGGUUGAUUUGGAGCCUAGUUGGGAGCUUCUUGAAAGGUUAGAAACAUGUUUUCUCCUUUUGAUCCUUGUUUUGUUAGAAUUUUUGAGAUGGAACCCUAGAAUGAGAUUUAGGGUUUGAUUUGGGCGUUUCGAAUCUAGGGCUUUUGGAGCUAGAUUCUUUGGUUUAGAACCUUCCUUGGGCUUGGAUUGGAAGGAUUCUAGCUCUCCUCUGGAGCCUAGGAGAGGAUUUUUACUCUUGAGGUGAGUUUUGGCCCUUUUUGCUUCUAGGGUAAUGAUUGAUCUUAUAGUUGAUCGUAAUGCCCGUGUAUCUCUUCGCUCAAUACUUUUAGGGUAUUUUGAGACUCGGGGACAACUUCGUUCGGCGAAACGAGGCACUACGCGACGGUUCGGUGGGUUUGACCUAGCCACACAAUGAGAAAACCUCAUUGUUGAUGAUUUAAGCGUUGUAAAAUGAAAAAGCAUGCAUAUUCUUGUUAUAUGUAUUUAUUGUGAAUUUUAGAAUGCUUAAAACGCCUAUGUUACAUAUAGUGCAAUUUUGGACCCCUAUAUAGUAGAGAGUUGCAUAUGAAGCUUAUGUUUGAUUGCUUAGCAUUCUUAUGUUGGGCCAUAUUCCUUUUAAUGAAAAUGAGUUUGAUUCAUGCAUUUUAAACCUAAGUUUAAUUGAGACAUGAAAGGUAAUAAAAUUGCCAUGUAGGGGCACCGGACUAGAACAUUAUGUGAAUUAGAGAGCUAAUGUCAUCAAGCGGCAUUGAGCUCGGACAUGUGUGAACCUUGUGGAUAGGGCCAUUGAGGAAUGUGGAACAUGCUUAAAUAUUGAACAUUGGAACUUCACUUUGUGACAUAGAACUAGAUCUUCGAGAUGCUAGUGACUAUACCAUGUUAGAGACAUGAGGAUUGGAUACUUGAGACUUGGUCUACGCUUGCUUGCCAUUUGUGCUCAUUCGCACAUGCUUGUGAGGGUCGCUCCCUACAAGCCGGCACUCCGGAGUUAGCCUACGCAACUUAUGUUCGCUCGUGCGGUAUUGAGAAGCCUACGGGGUCGAGUGGGACAGACACAUUCCAAGAGUAGGGAUGUUGGGCUACCACAGGCACUUAGGCGGCACAAGCUGGACUACCUUUGGUAGGUCCUUAAUUGGAAAUGGAAAUCGACACAGUGUUGAGAAUGAAUAAUCACUACUAGAUAGGCUUAGUAGUUGGAUUACUUGACAUGCUUACGACAUAGCAUUGAGACAUAUAGUGUACUUGCCUGUUUCAUUCAUUGCAUCAUAGUAUACUGGGUUGCUUUGAUAGAGCUUACUCCUUUUGCAUUGACAUAUUAUCUUAUGAUAGCGUAGAUGUACAUCACCAUGACAUCAUGCUUACUUGAGACAUAGUAGUAUAGCAUUUCAUUUAUGCUUUCUUUCAGCAGUUCUUACACUCGCUCUUUAUCAUUUAUUAUUAUUGUCGUUACUUACCCCUUUCUUUUGGGUCCUAGUGGUGCAUUGAGCUGAGGUCAGUAAUUGCCUACUGGGAACUAUAAAUUAUAGUUCUCACACCCCCUGUUUCUUGAUGUUUUUCAGAGCCUUCCACGCGGGAGAGGCUAGGGACCGCGGGAAAGGAGUUGCUUCGAGCUAGCUUCCUUCGAGGAUGAUUUGAUAGGUGGUCUACCGCUCGUUAUUUUAUUUUGUGAGAGGUUGAGAGUUGUACCCGUAUAUGUAUAGAGACCACCCUUCUUUUGGAUUUAUGUAUUUCUUUUGAGGAGUUUGCAUUGUAUCACCUGGUGUUUUACUUCUUUGGAUUAGUAUGUUUCCUUUAUUCUUGUUUUAGAUGAUAGAACUUUACUUGCUCUGAUAUCUCUAGUUAUAGAUUAUUUCUCGCUUUUAUUUUCGCUGUUGUUGUAGACGCCUUGUAUGUGCAGACAUAUGGCGGGUCUGGGCACGCUACCGGGAGGGCCUCCGCCGGUCCCGGGGCGUGACAAGCAGGGAUAAAGGACGUGUUUUGGGCUGUGUUCUACAAUCUAACUCAAUAGGAAGCUGAGUAGAAGCUUUGGA